UUAAAUAAGCAGCGCGAUAGUGCAGGCUGGUUGUAUAACGGGGCUUCACCUCAGCUGAACUUGACGCAUCUGGCAGCGCAGGACGCACGGCGCAGUCUGCACAGCCUGCGUGUCCCCGUUGAACCGAGCUGGAUGGCCGCGGAGACAGACGCAGAGAAGGGGGGAAACGCAUCUUUUUUUCCUUUUUUUAAUGGUCCGGAGACCGUCUCUUAAUAUAUCCGACAUGACGACUUUCCCUACUCGACAGCCUGCAAAUAUUGUCGCCGUGUGCUUUUUUUUUUAUUGUCUGGGUCCAGACACACAGCAGAAGGCACCGUCUAGGAAAUAUUAAAGUUGGACACCCCGGAGGAAGAGACCAUACAACUUGAACUUGAGACCUAUCGGGGUGCAGAGGACACGAGCAGACGUGGAAGCAGAAGGCGGCCCCCAGACGCCGAAUUACAGAGAGGAUAUGUGGACAUACUGCGUGCAGCAACUGAGGGAUCCGGCACAAUGAACGGCGGAGAUUUCGGCGCUUUACCCCGAUAGCUGAUGGCUGUGUGUGUGCCAGUUGCCUCAAAGUCUCAGUGGGCUCAUUAUUUGGGAAUGACGUCUGUUUUCCUGGUCAGACCUCAAUGUUAAGGUCGAGGAAACCUGAGAGAAGUCGAGCUGACAGACCUGGAGCUGCAGACAGGAGGAGGCCAGCCAAGCAUAUGUGACACACAGGAAGUACUUUGACAGGACUGUUUGAUUCACUCGAACACAAAUAAGUCGUAAAUACCAAUAUCUCAGUUUAUGAUACACAGUUAGAUCUAAAGGUCACAUACUGGAUGUGUCAUAUACACAGAAAAGACCAUUCAACACAAAGGUAUUCCACAUAUAAAAUAAACCCCUCCCUGUGUCCACUUCAUUCAUUCAUUUAUAAAUGUAAGAUAGACAUGAAUGCCCCAGUUGCUGAGAAAGCUCUAAAAAGGCCUUAAAUAUUUAUUGUAGUAAAUGGAUGGGAUUAAAUUUUUCACCUCUUUCAGUCUAUAUGUGUUAUCUGGUAAAAAAUUAUGUUGCAACAUAGCAACAGUGUAUUUUAAAAAUGACUGAAAUUAGCUUGAUUUUUAAAAAAAAUCUAAAUUAUCUGUGUGUUCGAUCAAAUCUACCCUAUUUAUAUAAUAAUAGUUAAAGUUUGAGAAAUGGUCAAAAGGUUAAAUAUGUUUCUUGGUGGUUGUAAUUGUUAUGUAAGGUUUGUAUUUUUACUACAUUAACAUGUAUAAAUGCACACUUUGAGGUUGGUUUAUGGCCAUGUGUGUCUUUUCCUGCUUCCCUGAAGGCCGUUUUCUGUCCGUUACUGUCAGCAGUCUGACAUGAGAGACACCUGCAGGAGUUUAACUGUCCUUUGGGGUGAGGUAGUAGGUUGUAUAGUUUUAGGGUCAUUCCCAAGCUGUCAGAUGACUAUACAACUUACUGUCUUUCCUGAAGCGGCUGUAAAGGCGUCGUCGUUACCAUCAUCAUUAUGACUAAGGACGACAUGACUAAUCCUUGUACUUUUUGUUGUUUUUUUAAUUGAAGUUGUGCUAUUCUCCUAUCUCAAAUUAUUUUAUCCCAAACUGAUACACACGACAUUUACCGAAUACAUGGGACUUUCCUUUCUUUUCAGGUGAGCCUGAGGUGUAUAAAAAGAUUGCUUUCCUUUAUUAAAAUUAAACUAGUAAAUAAAUGAGGAAAACUUUAGAGAUGAUCUUAGUUUUUACACAUUUAAGAUGUUGUAUCAACACGUGUAGCAUGAUGCAGGGAAGAGUUUUCUCACAAUUUGUGGAAUUUAAGCUGAAUUUUUGUGUUUUUUGGUUAUUAAUUUAAGUGUGAUGUUUGGAAUCUCUUACUUUAAAUGUGGAAGCUUUAACAACAUGCCCACAAUUUGAUCAUUUAAUUGUAAUUAUAAGGAAAUGUAACAUAUUAACUCUAAUGUUAUCACCAAGCUUCUCUGGGUCCUCUGUAACAACAACAAUAUAGUUCUGUCUUCAUUUAUGCAGAUGAUCUCACAUGCACAUCCUCCUCUUCCUCCCCUCACGGGUGACUUAUGGUGUUCGUACAGGGUGAGGUAGUAGGUUGUGUGGUUUCAGGGUUGUGAUUUUACCCCAUCAGGAGCUAACUAUACAACCUACUGCCUUCCCUGGAGGGCAGCAAUACAUCACUGGAGCACAACGUCUUUGUCACCAUUUUCUAAAAGGAGCAGCAUUUGAUUUCAAAGGUUUCACUAAUGGGUGAGUGCUGCUGCAUCCCAUUGUGCAUUUCACAGCAACAUUUAUCACUUCACAGAAUUAAAACUGCUUACAAAAAGUACAGUUGGUCUGAGAAAUGAAACUUUUUUAAAGCAUUAUUCAUGUUUUAACUGUGUACUGUUCAUUAAUAAAUAAAUAAAGCCUGGAUAAGAAAUAAUAUCAA